rnacentral:rRNA from 1 species
GGGCUCAACCCCGGGUCGGCCGUGCGAACUGCCGGGCUCGAGCACUGUAGGGGCAGGCGGAAUUCCGGGUGUAGCGGUGGAAUUGCGUAGAGAUCCGGAAGAACACCGGUGGCGAAGGCGGCCUGCUGGGCAGUGGCUGACGCUGAGGCGCGACAGCGUGGGGAGCAAAACAGGAUUAGAUACCCUGGGUAGUCCACGCCGUAAACGAUGGGCACUAGGUGCCCGGGGGAGCGACCCUCCGGGUGCCGGCGCUAACGCAUUAAGUGCCCCGCCUGGGGAGUACGGCCGCAAGGCUGAAACUCAAAGGAAUUGACGGGGGCCCGCACAAGCGGUGGAGCAUGUGGUUUAAUUCGACGCAACGCGAAGAACCUUACCUGGGCUUGACAUGCGCGGGAAACCCCGGGGAAACCCGGGGCCCUCUUCGGAGUCCGCGCACAGGUGCUGCAUGGCUGUCGUCAGCUCGUGUCGUGAGAUGUUGGGUUAAGUCCCGCAACGAGCGCAACCCCCGUCCCGUGUUGCCAGCGGAUAUGCCGGGGACUCUAGGGAGACUGCCGGUGCCAAACCGGAGGAGGGUGGGGACGACGUCAAGUCAUCAUGGUCCUUACGCCCAGGGCCACACACGUGCUACAAUGGCCCGGUACAGCGGGUCGCGAAGCGCAAGAUCGAGCCAAUUCCCAAAGCCGGCCUCAGUGCGGAUCGUGGGCUUGCAACCCGCCCCACGUGAAGCUUGGAAUC